CAAACGACUCUCGGCAACGGAUAUCUCGGCUCACGCAUCGAUGAAGAACUUUUGGCCGAGGGCACGUCUGCCUGGGCGUCACGC
rnacentral:rRNA from 1 species